rnacentral:rRNA from 1 species
AUGUUAUUUGCUGUAGGGUUCAUCUUUUUGUUCACCAUAGGAGGGCUCACUGGAAUAGUUCUAGCAAACUAUGGGCUAGACAUUGCUCUACAUGAUACUUAUUAUGUGGUUGCACAUUUCCAUUAUGUACUUUCUAUGGGAGCCGUUUUUGCUUUAUUUGCUGGAUUUUACUAUUGGGUGGGUAAAAUCUUUGGUCGGACAUAUCCUGAAACUUUAGGCCAAAUCCAUUUUUGGAUCACUUUUUUCGGGGUUAAUCUGACCUUCUUUCCCAUGCAUUUUUUAGGGCUUUCGGGUAUGCCAUGUCGCUUUCCAGAUUAUCCAGAUGCUUACGCUGGAUGGAAUGCUCUGAGCAGUUUCGGUUCUUAUAUAUCCGUAGUUGGGAUUCAUCAUUUCUUCGUAGUUGUCGCAAUCACUUCAAGGAGUGGAAAGAACCAAAAAUGUGCGGAAAGUCCUUGGGUUGUUGAACAGAAUCCAACCACACUAGAAUGGUUGGUACAAAGCCCUCCGGCCUUUCAUACUUUUGGAGAACUUCCUGCAGUAAAAGAGACAAAAAGCUAA